rnacentral:lncRNA from 1 species
UUUGCCUCUAACAUAACUAAUAUUUUCUUUUCCUCAUCUCACAUGGCCUAUGAUAUCACUAUCAAGCCAGCUAGCAUCGCACUAGCUUAAGGCGGUACAAAUUAUGCUAGAGGAGGGGCACAAGAUAUACCCGUGCCAUUGGAUGUAUAUUUUUCUCUUUCUGCACACCUUUCACAUCAUUCCCUACAGCCUCAGUCUAUAUACUCUGUCAGAUUAUCUCAGCUAUUAUAUUAGAUCGUUAUCCCAUUUCCCUGGCCAUAUGUUUUGCUACAUCUCUAAUUUUUGUGCCCCCAUAACUUAACAGAUCUAAGUCAGUAAAGAAGGAUAAUCCAGUAAUAACUUCUCUCCUCUUAUAACUUUAUCACAUAUUUCUCAAGCUAAAAACUCUCCCAUAUCAAACUCGUACCCAGUCAUAAACCCAGCUAUCAAUGUUGCACUAACUGGGUUGAGUACGUUAUCCUUAGUAAGGGGAAAAAUUCUGUGUCUGGCCAGUUUUCACCAUGCCUUGGACUCAAAGUUUAAUAUGGGCUUUUAUAUCAUCUGUAAAGUCACCUCUGGGCCACCUACUACCCAACUGGCUUCUUCCCUGUUCAAAGCAAUCAACCCUAUAAUCCACCAAAAAUAACUUAUCUUGUCUUCCUAUCCCAGCUUCUUUCUUAUAAUUUUUUGCAUUUUAUCCAUACAGUAAUCCAUUUUGGCUAUAUUUAUCGGUGGCUGGAUAUUUGGUACAUUAAAGAAUUGAGAAAUAGUAAGAGUGGAGAUAUUCACCCGCACUUCUCAAAUGGACAAUGAGGUAAUAAUCUCUCCACAUUCUAUCAGUUUCCUUGUGGAUACAUCUUCAUCAACCUACCCUUGUAUGCCAUAUAAAACUCUAGCAAUAAUGUUGUACUGUAUUUCCCAAAUAGUGUUAUCAUCCACUAAAACCCGUAUUAGCUGAAUCGAGCAUCUAAUCUUGGCAUCUUUGGCAUUUCGUUGGUGGUCUAUCUCCUCUCAACAUAAAUACUUAAUUUUAUUCUUCAAUUAGGAAGUCUGCUCAGCCUAUUAUUAUAUCUCUCCUGUAUACUGGGGUACCUCUACCAUUUAAUGGUGGGCACCAGAAUAAGUGUAAUGGCUAGAGUUACGUCCUGUCUAUCAAACAGAGUUACAUAAACCUUUUCGUUAUUAGUAUCCACAAAACUUUUUCUCUCUAAGCUUGAUUAUACAUUGUCAUCCUCUCUGGUAUUCUUCAUUCUUGGUCCUCGUGGAGUUUUCUCCUCCGGGGUGGCUAUUUUCUAUCCCUGAGGGUGUUUUACUAUGGGUGUGCUUUCUUCUUCAUGGGGAAUUCAACUAAAUUACCAAUGUAUUGGAUGAUUUUGUGCUAUCAUUCACUAACUGAAUGGUUUUUGGGGAAGGCUUCUUCUUGGCUACUUGCUUGAAAGAUAAAGCACCUUUACGAGGCAUGGUACAUGUAUGCAUACAUUCAUUAGCAAAUACUAAGGAAAAAAAGCAAAAAUAAGAAAAGUCUAUAUUAUUGUGCAUGUUCUGUUUAGGUUACGACUGGGAGGGUAAGAGUUAUAUGAUCUAGGUAUAACUCAUAUGAUUGAUUCGCAUGAUAAGCAUUGUAGAUAAGGAUGUUCACUAGUCAACUUAUGUGUCCUCCUAGCUAGUCAUAAAGACAAGUUACAACUCGUUACCAACAAUCUUAAGAAGACCAUAAACAAAACUCUAAUGUGUGAUAUCUUCCUAGGUACUUCUAAAUUAUGUGUAUGAGUAGUAUGGGUUGGAUAUGACUGACAUACGAAAUUUGAAUCCAUACUAAAACCUACACUUAAUUAGACUUCUUAGCUUUCAGUGGGUAUAAGUCUCGUUACGACUUCUUUCAUGUACGUACGAGUUGUAAGGGAUCUCGUAUCGACUGUAACAUAAGUGUUUAACUUAUGAGUUUAUUCAAAUAAACAAUCCCCAAAUUACCCUUUCAAUGCUUAACAUUACCACCCUAUUUUAGUCCAACAACACACAUUUUUAGCACAAAAUAUUAAGUUCACCCAACUUCCAUUUUAAGCUUAAUUUCUAAGAACUAAGGUUCUAAAUUUCAACACACAUUGAUAUCCAAGUCAAAGAAAUUCUAAAAUCUUAAACUAUUUUCGACUUCAAUCUGUAAAUAUAGAGCAUUGGAGUUCAACAACUUACUUGAAUGGUUGAGAGAUUAGGGCUCUUGAAUUUUCCCUUUUCUUUCCCAAAUUCUUAUGAAAUUUCCGCAAUGUGAGAGAACCCAAUGAUUUGUGUGUUUUGAGUGAAUUCGUGCAUUUUGAAGCUAAAGGAUUGAUCACAAAUGGAGGUAUUUGAUUUUCAUAGUAUUGGGUACCUGAAUUGAGUGCCCCUUUUGUUUAAAAUCAGGUGAGCUGCGCCAAGUUGAUCCAAAACCGUCGACCUAGUAAGCUUUACUACGAGUCUCGUGUAUGACUCUUACCAUGUCUUACGGGUCUUUUCCUCCACUCGUAGAGACCAUGAAAUUUACUUGGGUUUUGAAGUCGAUACGACUUAGUGUUACAAAUAAUACCUUGAACAGACAACUCGUUCUGAGAAUCGUAAAGACUCCAGAAACUUUUACCUAGAUCUGUAUCAUCUCCCAGGUCCUUACGACUCCUACUUACGAGUCUUUACUUUAAGAUACGACUCGUGAAGAGUUUGUAUGACCAAAAUUCUUUGAAUUUAUGGAUCUUUUUUGCAAUCUUUAGACCUGUACACUGAAAAAAUUAAUACUUGAUAAAUAAAUAAGAAAAAAACAUGGGUUUCCUCCCCUGCAACGCUUGAUUUAACGUCACAGCACGACAGGGCUAAGAUGGAUACUCAAAUUUCAUUAACUAGCGUCAUGGUCUACCUCUCAUGACGCGCUUGAUUUAACAGCAUGGGAUAACAUAAUUUCCUUGGUUACUCAGACUCCACCAAGGUCCAUCUCAAAAAUUACACUUACUUCUUUAGUGUUACCCAUAUAAUUCAUUACACUUUGCCCAUUCACCUUGAAUGGGGCUUUACUAUCCAGCUUCAAUUCCAAUGCACCAUAUGGAACACUCUUAGCACAAUAAAUGGACUAUACAAUCUAGACUUCAACUUACCUGUAAAUAAGUAAAGACUUGAGUUGUAGAGUAAUUCAUGGUCGCCUUCCUCAAAUAUCAUUUUCUUAAUCUUGCGAUCAUGAUGCAGUUUCAUCAUUUCUUUGUGAAGUGCAGAACUUUCAUACGCACGAAGUCAAAAUUUAUCCAACUCAGUUAUCUUGUUCAUUGUUUACUUUUUUGCAUCUUCCUACUUAAAGUUUAUCUUUUUCAAAGACCAUAGUUCUUUAUGUUUAAGCUUAACAGGAAAGUGACAAGCCUUGCCAUACAUUAGUUGAAAAGGUGAAGCACCUAUGGUCUUUUUUUAAAGCUUUACGGUAUGCCUAUAAUACAUUGUAUAACCUUCUUGGACAAUCAAUCCUAUUAGCAUUUACUGUCUUUGCCAAAAUAGAAUUGAUUUCUCUAUUAGAUACCUAAACCUAUCCACUAGUAUGCGGACGAUAAGGUGUUGCCACCUUGUGUUUUACUCCAUACUCCUUAAGCAGAUAUUUGACUAGACAAUUACAAAAAUGUGAACCUUCAUCACUAAUCAUAGAACGUGGCAUGCCAAAUCGAGAAAAGAUAUGCUUUUUCAAGAAUGUAGUGACACUACAUGCUUCAUUGUUGGGGAGCGCAACCGCUUCCAUCCAUUUAGAGACAUAAUCUAUAGCCACUAGAAUAUACUUCAUAUGAAAUGAACACAUCAAAGAACCCAUGAAAUAUAUACUCCAUACAUCAAAUAAUUAUAAUUCUAGAAUAAGAGCCACAAAGAGUUCAUAGCAUCUAGAGAUGUUACCUUGGCAUUGACAUUGAUCGCAAGCUAAAGCAAAAUCAUGUGCAUCUUUGUAAAUUGUUAGUCAAUAGUACCCAUAUUUUAUUAUUUUGUGGGUUGUGCAGGUUCUUUCAUGAUGACCCCCAACUAGUGAAGAGAGACAAGCCUCAGUUAUUCUCAUCAUAUCCACCUUAGGUAUACAUCUACACAUAAUCCCAUCCGCAUAAAUUUUGAAUAAAAAAGGCUCAUCUUAAAAAUAUUUCCUUACCUCAUUCAUAAACUUCUUUUUUCGCCAAAAUAAAAUCUUUUGGGACUAGAUCACUUGCUUUAUAAUUUGCACAGUCAGCAGACCAUGGAAUUAGAUCUUAAUAGGCUAUAAAUAUCUGCUCAUCUAAAAAACUAUCAUCAAUCUCGAGCUCAUCUACAACAUUUAGCAUAACUUCUUUCUCAAGUCUAGACAAAUGAUCUACAACUUCAAUCUCAGUGCCAUUUCUAUUCUUGACCUCAAAAUCAAAUUCUUAUAGCAAUAGAACCCACCAAAUCAUCCUAGUAUUGUAUCUUUUUUCACCAUUAAGUACUGUAAUGUUGUAUUAUUUGUUUACACAAUCUCCUUUGUCCCAACCAAAUAAGAUCUAAACUUUUGAAAGGAAAAAACCACUGCCAAUAACUCUUGUUCAAUGAUGGUGUAGUUCUUUUAAGCAGGAUUUAGUGCGUUGCUAGCAUAGUAGAUGGGGGGAAAGAUAUUUUCUUUUUAUUAGCCUAGUAAACCAUCUAAGAAAAAUCCACUUGUAUCAUACAUAAUCUCAAAUAGAAAGGACCAAUCUGGCGAAUUGAUGAUAAGAGCAGGCAUUAACUACACUUUUAGACAUUCUAAUGAAUUCAAGCAUACUUCAGUAAAAUAAAAUUUCACCUCUUUCUGAAGAAUCCUACAAAGAAGGUUGGAAAUCUUGGAGAAAUCCUUGAUGAAUAGCCUAUAAAACCCAGCAUGUCCCAAGAAGAUAUGAACGCCCUUCACAAAAAUUGGUGGAGGUAAUUUCUUGAUCACUUUAAUAUUUUCUCUAUCUACCUCAAUACCCCUUUUUGAAAUUUUUUGUCCAUGAUAUAUGCCUUCUUUAACCACAAGAUGACACUUUUCCCAAUUAAGUACCAAGUUGCAUUCUUCACACCUUCUAAGAGCAUUUGCCAAGUGAACAAGACAAUCAUUAAAAGAAUAACCAACGAUAGAGAAAUCAUCCAUAAACACUUUAAUGGUGUCUUAUGCCAUGUUAGAGAAGAUUGACAUCAUACAUCUCUAAAAUAUAGCUUGAGCAUUACAUAACCCAAAUAGAAUAUGUAUGAAUGCAAAUGUCCCAUAAGGACAAGUGAAGGUUGUUUUCUCUUGGUCGUCAGGUGCAUUAGUGAUUUUGUUGUAGCCUGUGUACCCAUACAAAAAAUAGUACCAUCAUCUACUCAUAUGUUUAUCUAGAGUUUGGUCCUUGAAAGGCAUGAGAAAGUGAUCCUUCUGAAUCUAUGCAUUCAAUUAUUUUUAAUCCAUGCAUAAUCUUCAUCCUGUGACUGACCUUAUUGGCAGUAGAUCAUUCUUCUUAUUAGGCACAACACUAAUACUUUCUUUCUUAAGAACACAUUGUACUGAAUUGACCCACUUAUAAUCAACAAUGGGAUACACUACAUCUACAUCAAAAAACUUAAUUAUCUCUUUCUUCACUACCUCUUACAUCAAAUAAUUAAGUCGACACUGAUGUUCUAUACUUAGAAUACAAUCCAUUCCAAGAUGGAUCAUUUGAGUACAAAGACUAGGUGGGAUACCCAUAAUAUUUGCAAUGGACAAACUAAUGGCCCUUUUAAAUCUCUGUAGAAUUGAUAGUAAAGUUUAUAGUUCUAUCUAAAUCAAGCCAGUUACAAUGAUUACUGCAAAAGCAUUACUAGCCCCCCAAAAAUUCACAUCACAAAUGAGAAAAGAGGGACAUUAACUCUAAGAUGGGUGGCUCAUCAAUCAAUGGGUGAGAAGGUAGAAUAGUUCUAUUUUUUAGAUCAAAAUCAAUCCUCUUUGGUGCAUAAGUAUAAGAACCACUCCCAUAGAGUGCACAUACCUUAUCAUCAUAUUUAUCAAUACCAUUACUAUCGAAGUUCAUGAUCACGACUGUUAGAGCUUCAACACCUAACCGCUCAUCAAUAGGAACAACAUUAGAAGAAUUAUCCCAUAUAGUUACUGAAUCAAUAUUAUAGAAUGAAUUGAUAUUCUCAUCAUACACAUCAAUCAAGAAUAUGACUCUUAACUCAUUAGGGUGCUUUAUUGAUUUGCAUACAUUGAAAUCACUUGUUUAUUAUUGAGUCUCAGUAUAAAAUAUCCUAGCUCGAAAUCUAUCAACGUCCUUCCCAUAGCUAAGAACAGUCUUUCCAAGAUAAUUAGGACUUAAAAGUCCACUUCACAGUCUAAUAUUACAAAAUUAGUAGGACAGAUAAAAUAAUCCACCUUUGCCUAUACAUCAUAUAGAAUAUCAACUGGCUUUUUCACUUUUCUAUCUGUCAUCUCUAGUCUCAUGUUGGAUGGUGAGGGAGCUUCCAACCAUAAUUUCUUAUGCACUUCUAAUUUCAUCAGGUUUAUAAUAGGACACAAAUCAAAUAAUCCUCGAGUGAAGUUAAAAUAUCAAUGGUGCAACAAAUGGUGAAAGCACUAGGUUUCUCCUUAUUCUUUACCAAUGAUCUAGUGGCUAGAGUGUUGCAGUGAUGAAUACUAUCAAGUAGAUUAUAUCUGACUGACCUCUUCUUUGCAGUUGGAUCGUUCAUGAGUUUUACAUAUCCUAGUGUUUGUUCUAAUGCCUCUACAAGUGGGAUAUUGACAGAUAGCUCUUUUAACAUAUAUAAAUUUUUUUUAAUACUAACCCUCUUCUUAUUUCUUUUUUGGUAUUUAAGGAAAAGAAGGGAGACGUCUCGAGGUGAUCUUUAAAAUAGGCUUCUCAUAUGUGUCUUUUCUUUUAUCUUGAUUGCUACCACUCUCUACAUCAACUGAUUCAUCAUUAUUCUUUAGUUCAUUAACAGUGGGUACAUGUGGAUCUAUGGUAGUUUUACCACUUUAAGUGGUAAUGGCAUGGCAGUGACUAUUAGUCUUGGGAUUAACUGCUAUGUUACUAGGGAGAAUACCCAAAUGCCUUUGAUUAACUGUGGAUGACAUCUGACCAAAUUGCUGCUCCAACUAUUUGAUUGCGGUAACAUGUAACUCAAAUUUAUGAUUUAGUCCUUAUAGAUCUGCCUUUUUCUCUUUAAGACAACAUUCUUAACAUUGUUGUCCUUUGAUUGAUUUUGACAAAAGUGCUUCCAUUAUUGAUUCUGAAUCACGACCACCUGGUGGAACGUACCUAUCGCUCUUCUCUUUGUAAUCAUCUUUCUGUCACCAAUCACCAUCUCUCUAUAUAUAUAUUUCUAUCUUUGUAUCUAUCAUUAUAAUAGUUUGGAACUUAAUUCCCUUGCACUUGGGCUAAAAAAUCCACCAAUCAAAAAUCAAUAUAUUUUGCUUUCUCUUCAAAUUUAGUCUCAACAAUCCUAAAAGAAGAUCUCUAUUCCUCGACAUCAUUAACUUUGUUAGCACUAAAAUUUGCAAAUUAUUUUUUGAGUAACCCAAUUUUCGUCUGAAGCUGUUCAACCUCUUGCACUACGAAAUCAUGACGAACUCGACAAUCGUUAGCUGCUCUAAUAGCAUUUGUACCAAAACCACGCUUAGUAUCUCUAGUAUGCCAACCUGUAUUAGUUAUCAAGAUAUCAUCAAGCAUUUCCUACAUAGCAUCCCACUGAAAAUGCAUAAAUGUACCUCCCAAAAUUGUACCUACCAUUUCUCUAGAACUGACAUUCAGUGAUCCGUAGAAGAUUUCCAACAAGUUAGACCCUGUGAUUAGGUACCACGCUUAGCUUCUUCUUGAAUUUAUAAGAUGCCUCAUACAUGGAUUCUACAUAUAAGUAUCUAAAAUUAUAGAUACCAUCUUGCAACUAUAGCAUCCUUGCAGGAGGGAAACCCUUUUCAAAAACUAUCUUUGCAACUCAUACCAUGUAGUGAUUGAACCUCUUGGAAAUUCCCCUAACCAUAGUGAUUCUUCACCAGUCAGCAAAAAUGGGAACAACCUCAAUCUUAAAGGUUCUUGAUCCUGUCUUGGAAUUAUAUAUGACAUGCAUAUCCUAGUAAAGUUAGCCAAAUGCAUGUUUGCAUCAUAAAUUAGUGAUCUAAAAAAUACACCCUUUAAGUUCAAAUAUAGGAUCAUAGCACUAGUAAUGUCCAACGUAACAUUGGAUGGUAGAGCAGGAAGAAUGAUGGAUCCUAUAUUAGUAGAUUCAACAUAACCCUUAUCUUCUUCAUUAUCAUAUGGGUGUAAGUGAUGAUAUGUUUGAAUUAAUAGAGCCUUGCCUCUCUUAACUCUACCCAACACUGGGCCACUUGUCUUGGUCUGGCUAGUUCUCUUUACUUUCAGGCCUCUUCUGAUGCUCUACUCUCUCCCUAUACAACUGAUAAAAGUUAUUACAUUUGUAAAUUUGCACAAUUUUUUGGAUCACCUAGAGCAUGCAGCAGUGUCGUAUUUGGAUAAACAGAUAAAGGAAGAGGGUAUUGAACCCUACUAGGAACAUCAUUAUGAACUUUUCUUGACAUCCUUCUCGGUGUUUAAAGAAUUAUUUUAGGAUCUAUAUCAAAAGAAAGUUAGGGAUUGCCUCAUCUCAUAGUGUUAAUAUACACCAACAUAUGACAAAUCAAGAACAAAAAAUAAAAUCUACUAACUUUACCAAUUUUAUUAACUACUCAAAUUUUAUUCCUAGACAAAGAAACCAAAAUUUUAUGUCGCCCAAAACUAACCUGUAAAGAAGUAUUCUCAGGUCGAUGCCAAAUAUAUUAACCCCAAUAGGUUGGGGUCGAUUCCAUAUGAAAAAUGUUGUACUUGUGCUUAACUUGCUGAAAUCCACAAACAGUGCAGAAAAGUAAAUAGGGGAUUUAAAAUCAAUCAUAAACAGUAACCAAACUGGAAUACUUUGAGUUUGUAAACAAUAGAAUAAGAACACUAGGAUUGUGUUCCCCCUAGCAUCUCAACUUCAUAAAUUUCUCAUUUUCAGCCCACUUAUUCUAUUGUUCAGCAUGUAGAGUUAACAUGCUAUGUAUUAUCAACCAUCUUGUGAACUCAUUGAUAAAUCUCACUCUUUAGAUGGUGAGUCUCAGGGUGUCGUCUUAUUUAUCCUUGCCUAUUACAUCAGUUCAACUUUUAUCUUUUGAGACUUAACUUGUUUAGAUAAGAUUAUGGGAUAAUAAGAUAGACGCUAAUCUCAAAUUACUGUCUUAAUCCUCUUUUCCUAAUCUCAAACUCCCUUGUGAGGAUGUUAUCAAAUACGGGAAAUUCCUAAGCUUCUGUAGUAGCUCCGAGGUAAAUUCAUAAGAAAAAGAUUUAGAUACAAGAAGUUAUGUUAGAAUAGAUGAAUCUUCCACUUUCUUUACAUAGAUAAUUCCACAAGGUUCCUACAACCCUAGUCUAGGAAAUUAGUUGAUUAUGUUCACGCAAUAAUCAAUGAUAAUUAAUAAAGAUUUUAUGUAAUUAAUUGCAUAAGAAUUAGAAGAAUAAAAUAUGAAGUCUUCAAUUGAAUAAUAACCCUAAAAUAUCAAGACUAAUGUAAAGUAUUAUAAAAGUAUGUAAAAUAAUGUUAAGGAAUGUCUAAAAGUGUAACAUAAUAAAAGGCUGGAUCUGUGUCCUAAUUUUAUGAAUUGCUAGCUGUUAAGAAAAGGUUGGGCAAAGAAAUAGAGGUGUUAAGGAUUAUGUUGGCUGCCAAAGAUACUGAUAUAGUUCAUUGAAGUUGCAGAAUUAGAAGUUAUCUUAUGAGGGACCAGUUACAACUGCUGUGCUUGCAACUGAAAAUGCAAAACUCCAUAUACAAGUGGUAGAACUGACAGGUGAAAUUUAAGGAUUGAAUCCUAAAGUGCAAAUUCUCCCUAAAUAAUUGUUGGAUGCCCACAACGCUAAAAUUCAGGAACUGAGAUACUUAUUAAGUCUCUUUCCCCUAAACCUUCUUCUACCUAAGUCUUAUUAUCUUUGUUCUCAAAUCAAUCUCGUGUCAGUUUCAUAUUUUGCUCCCUAUGUUUCCUCUUGAAGAUAGUUUGUUUUAUGAAUUAUUUUAGUAUGAUUAUACUGGUAUUGACCAUUAUUUAAAAGAUGAAUGAAUUUCUCUUAUGUAUCCUAUCUAUCUCUGUUACUUUUAAAGCUACUCUCCAUGCUAGUAUAGCCCUAGUGUCUAUGAGUUAAUUAACUUGAACUUAUAUUUACUUAUUGUUUACAGCUAAUCCUUUUCAAUGAUGCCAAAAGGGGGAAUACUGAUUUCAUGAGAUAGGGAAUAGGUAUAAUGUGUGAUGUGUAGGGAUCAGGUACAAUGUAAUGAUGAUGACUAGGUACCACUUAAUAACAUGCAUAUCCCAGUAAAUUUAUUCAAUUUCAUGUUUGCUUCAUCAAUUACUGAUCUAAAAAAAUACACCCUUUAAGUUCAACAAUUGGAUCAUACCUCUAGUAAUGUCAAACUUAACAUUGGGUGCUAGAGAAGGAAAAAUGGUGGAUUCUAUCUUAGUAGGUUCAACAUAACGCAUAUCUUCUUCAUUAUCAUAUAGGUGUAAUUAUUGAGAUGUUGGAAUAAAUGGAGCACUGCCUCUCUAAACUUUGACUCGAUACCGGGCCACUUGUAUGGGUCUAGCUAGUUCUCCUUACUCUCGGGCCUCCUUCGCUACUCUUCUCUCUCCUUUUAUAAUAGCUAAAAGUUACUACAUUUGUAAAUAUUCAACAUUUUAUAGAUUACCAAGACCAUGUGGAAGUUUUGUAUUUGAAUUAACAGAUGGAGGAAGAGGAUGGUGAACCCCAAUAGGAAGAUCAUCAUGAACUUUUCUUGAGAUCCUUCUCGGUAUUUAAAGAAUUAUUUUAGGCUCUAGAUUAAAAAGGAGUAAGGGAUUUCCUCUUCUAGUAGUGUUUGACAUACACCGGCGUAUGCCAAAUCAAGAAUAAAAAAUAAAACCUGGAAACUUUACCAAUUAAAUUAAAUACUCAAACCUUCUUCCCAGACAAUGAUACCAAAAUUUGAUGUUGCCCAAAACUAACCUGUAAAGGAGUACGCUCUGGUUGAUGCCAAAUAUAGUAAUCCAACUAUGUUGGGUUUUAUACCACAGGAAAAAUGUUGAAUAGGUGCUUAACUUGCUUAAAUCCACGAGCAGUGUAGAAAAGUACAUGGGGGAUUUAAAAUCAAUAAGAAAUAGUAACCAAACUUAAAUUCUUUGAAUUUGUAUACAAUAGAAGAAGGCCACUAGGACUGUGUUCCCCUUGGUUUCUCAACUUCAUAAAUUUCUUGUUUUCAACCAACUUAUUCUAUUGUUUUGCAUGUAAAGUCAACAUAAUCUGUAUUAGCAACCAUCUUGUGAAUGCGUUAAUAAAUCUUAGUCUUUACAUGGUGAGUCUCAGGGUGUCACCUUAUUCUCCUUGUCUAUAAUAUCAGUUCAACUUUCAAAUUUUGAGACUCAAGUCCAUUGGAUAAGAUGAUGGGAUAAUAAGAUGGACAUGAAUCUCAGAAUACUAUCUUAAUCCUCUUUUCCUGAUCUGAAACUCUCUUGUGAGGAUUUUAUCGAAUAUGUGAAAUUCCUAAGCUUCUGCAAUAGCUCUAAGGCUAAUUCAUAGGAAGAAGAUUAAGAUACACGAAUUUAUGUUAUAAUAGAUGAAUCUUCCACUCCAUUAACACAGCUAAUCCACCAAGGUUCCCACAACCCUAGUCUGGGAAAUAAGCCAAUCAUCUUCACACAAUAAUAAAUAAUAAUCAAUAAGUAAUUUAUGUAAUUUAUUGCACAAGAAUAAGAAGAAUAAAAUAUGAAGACUUCAAUUAAAUAUUAACCCAAAAAUAUCAAGAAUAAUGUAAAGUAUUGUAAAAGAAUGUAAAAUAAUAUUAAGGAACAUCUAAGAGUGUAGCCUAACAAAAGAUAAACUUCAAGGUAUUUAUAAUAUGUCAAAAUAUUUAAAUUUUUUAAUUAAAUUAAAAUAGGAAAAGUAAUAUCGGCACAAGGUAUGACACACUCGUCCACUCAUAAAGUCUUCUUACGAGUCUACUAUGCCUCUCAUAUUUCUCCAGUGUCUGAUCUUCCAGGUCUUCAACUUUCUGUAAUCGUUAUGACUUAUGCUCAUGAGUCAUACCUUAACCAUAUGACUCGUGGCCUUCACUCGUUACCACCUUGGACUUCUUCAUUUAAUGCUCUGAACACUGGUUUACUUACAGUUUACCCAUACGACUCUUACUCAUGAUUUUGACUCAUCUUAUUUUGAGACUUCAACUAUAAAUUUGACUUUAGUUUCUAUUUUCUUGACUACUGCGUCUUUAGAGUUGUAUCCUCAUUUUACAAUCCGUAUGCUCCAGUUGUAUCCUAUCAUCACUUGGUUUUUCUAUUUUGUUUUAGUCACUGUUAUGCUUACAAGUUAACCUAUGAGCCAUAUGAGGUAUUGAAGACUUGUAAGGUGACUCGUAUCAUCUUUAUUUCUGUAUUCUUCAAGUCUUUUUCUUCAAAUUUCAUCCCAACACAAUUAAUGAACUAUUACACUUGCAACAAGAUAAAAGUACAUCAUAUCUACUAAAAUAACCUAAGUACAAGUAUAAAUUCUUUUUUGAAAUAUCAAAAGUGUCAUGUUUCUAUGGCGUAUCAAAAACUAAGGAAAACAUCAUCUGCAGUCCUAAACAACAAGCUGAAUCCUUCUUAGGUAUCAAAAUCCCUUAAUCGAGUCAGUGUUCAUUAAAUCCUCCUUAAUCUCAGAAGUUCAUGCUUAGCCUGUCAUGAUUGAGAAUCCAAACAAAGGAUUUGGAUUACCGAUAGAAUAAGAAACAUCUCAUCCUAUAAAUCCCUCUUAUCUAGGAAAUUAAAAACUACCUAAAAUCUUCCAAAUUACUGAGUCAUCCAAAAAACCCAUAUAUGCUGAACCCUAUAAAACACAACAAGUGCUUGACUCUCCUACACCCUCAUAUUCAGACCUUAUUUUUUCUAAGUUAUUUGGUAAAGAAAUUUAAAUGAAAAGGGUUGAUCUUUCCUCUAAUGAAAACUUGAUAGCUAAGAAUCUACUCCUGUUUGCAUAUCAUACCAAGAAAGAUUAGUAAAUAGAGAAGAACUAAAAGUGGGUAAUAAAGAUAAAGGGAAUAAAUGAAAAGAUAUGGUGUUACUACCACAUAAGAAAUAUGAUGCGGAUGAGGAUGAAAUAACUCUAGGAUAGUUGGUAAAGAAACUGAGAUGCAGAAUGGGUAAGGAGAAAAUUAUAAAAUUGGAGGUGAAAGUAACUAGAACCUAUUCUAUAAGAGGUUCUAACAAUAAAAUAAUGGAAAAUGGAAUGAAGGCCAAAAAACCUACAACCACGAAAAGAAGAAGACUGAGGAAGUCAAUGGAUGUAGAGGAGGAAGAAAAUGUUAAAGUUGUAGAGGUUGAGAAAGAAGAAGACAUAGAUUAAGUAGUUGCUACUACUACUAAACAAAGAAAACUGGAAGUUGAGGAUGAUAGGAGGACUAGGUCCUCUAAGUCAAAGAGAGUUAGCUCCACUGGAAUGAGGGAGAAAUAUAUAGCUUUCAAGAAAAGAAAAGAUUUUGAGGGACUCGAUCCUAUAAAGACAAAAACUAAUGAAAAAUAAUAAAGAAAGAAAUGGCAUGUAUAGACAAAAGGAGGAGUAAGAAACUUAGAAUACAUAUAAUUCUAUCUAGGAGAGUAUUGAAUCCAAAAAUAUAUGGAAAACUAGGGAAAGUAGAACUAGUAGAGUAUGUGAGGACUUAUGGUUGGUUACACUUUCUAGAAGAACCAACUCCCAUUGUCGUUGAAGGAGAAGUGAGAUAAUUGUACUAAUCUAUGGAAUUCUUAAAGGAUGGUUUGUGUUUGAGUGCAUAGGUCCAUGGAAUAGUGCUUAAGCUGGAUGAAGAAACACUAGGAAGAAUCCUGAAUGUAUCUAUUGUAGAGAUAAGAACUGUAGUAAAUCAACAUCCCACCACUAAGUUCAUGAUUGAAACACAAUAGUUAGGAUGAACCUCAAUAACUGUAGUGAAAAAGAACUUUCUAAAAAGUGACUAUCAUCUUGUAAUUAUGUUGAUCAAUAAGGUCUUGUUGCAAAGAUCUAAGAAAAGAACAAUUACUUCCAGUGUUGACUUGUUCUUGAAUGAAUCCUUGAGUAAAUUUAAAUUAAUAAGUCUUCCAGCUCUAAUGAUAGAGCAUAUGCAUAAAAUGAUUCAUGAAAAGGAAGGCAAAUAUGGAAUACCAUAUGGAUAUUUCAUAAACAAGGUGUUUGAACACUUUGAUGUAUAUGGAACUUAAGGAACCCUUAGAACAACCAAGCAGAUGAUCAUCCUUACAACCCUUGUGAAUAAUGAAUGGAUAGAGGGCAAGACUGGAUCUAUGUCCCAAGUGUCGGAGUUCCUAGCUAUUAAGGAAAGGUUGGGCAAACAAAUGGAGGAGUGAAGGAUAAUAUUGGCUACCAAAGAUGCUGAGAUAGUGCAUCAUAAGUUGCAGAAUCAGAAGUUGUCUUUUGAGGUACCAGGUAGAAAUGUUGAGCUUUUAGCUGAAAAUUCAAAACUUCAUUCACAAGUGAUAUAACUGUCUGGUGAAAUUCAAGGAUUGAAUCCUGAAGUGAAAAUUCUCACCAAAAAAUUGUUGGAUUCCUAUAAUGCUGAAAAUGCAAGAAUAGAGAUACUUAUUAAGUCUCUUUCCCCACAAACCUCCCUCUACCGAAGUCUUAUUAUCCCUGUUCUCAAAUCACUCUAGUGUUAGUUUUAUAUUUUGGUCCCUAUGUUGGAUUUUGAAGGUAGUUUGUUAUUUGCAUUAUUUUAGUAUGAUUAUAAUGGUACUGAUCUUUGUUUUAAAAAUAAAUGAAUUUAGCUUGUGUAUCCUAUCUAUCUCCUUUAGUUUUAAAGGUUCUCUUCAUGCUAGUAUUUCCUUGUGGCUAUGAGUUAUUAACUUGAACUUAUCUUUACUUAUGGUUUACUACUAAUCCUUUUAAAUGAUGCUAAAAGGGGGAAUAUUGAUUUUAGGAGGAAGGGAAUAGGUAUGAUGUGUGAUGUGCAGGGAUUAGGUACUAUGUAAUUAUGAUGACCGAGUACCAUGUAAUGACAUGCAUAUCCCAGUAAAGUUAGCCAGAUGCAUGUUUGAAUCGUCAAUUGUUGUUCUAAAAAAUACACACUUUAAGUUCAAUAAUGGGAUCAUAGCUCUAGUAAUGCCGAACUUAACAUUGUGUGGUAGAGCGGGAACAAUUAUGGCUCCUAUCUUAGUAGGUUUAACAUAACCCAUAUAUUCUUCAUCAUUAUAUGAGUGUAAGUGGUGAUAUAUUGGAAUCAAUGGAGCUCUGCCUCUCUGAACAUUGUCCUGACACUGGGCCACUAGUCUGGGUUUGACUAGUUCUCUUUGCUUUUGGUCCUCUUUUUCUGCUUAUCUCUCUCCCACUAUAGCAACUAGAAGUUGUUGCAUUUUUUAGAUUCCCUAGAGCAGAUGGAAGCACUGAAUUUGUAUUAACAGAUGGAGGUAGAGGAUAUUGAACCCCAGUAGGAACAUCAUCAUGAACUUUUCCUGACAUCCUUCCCGGUGUUUAAAGAAUUCUUUUAGGCUUUAGAUAAAAAGAGAGUAAGGGAUUUCCUCUUCUUAUAGUUUUUGACAUACACCGGCGUAUGCUAAUUCAAGAAUAAGAAAUAAAACCUGCAAACUUAAUCAAUUCAAUUAACUACACAAACCUUCUUCCCAGACAACAGUACAAAAAUUUGAUGUCGCCCAAAACUAACCUGUAAAGAAGUAUGCUCUAAUCGAUGCCAUAUAUAGCAAAACAAAUAGGUUGGGGUCGAUCCCACAGGAAGAAUAUUGGACAGAUUCUUAACUUGCUAAAUUCCACGAGCAGUGCAGAAAAAUAAAUGAGGGAUUUGAAAUCAAUAGUAAAUAGUAACCAAACUUGAAUGCUUUGAGUUUGUAAACAAUACAAGAAGACUACUAGGACUGUGUUCCCCCUAGCUUCUCAAAUCCGUAAAUUUCUAAUUUUAAACCCACUUAUUCUAUUGUUCUGCAUGUAAAGUCAACAUGAUAUGUAUUAUCAUCUGCCCUAUGAACGCAUUGAUAAAUUUUACUCUUUACAUGGUGAGUCUCAGGUGUCGCCUUAUUUAUCCUUGUCAAUGACUUCUAUUCAACUUUCAUAUUUUGAGACUCAAGUUGAUUAGAUGAGACGAUGGGAUAAUAAGAUGGAUGCGAAUCUUAAACUACAAUCUUAAUCCUCUUUACCUAAGAUCAAACUCCCUUAUGAGGAUGUUAUCGAAUACGGGUAAUUCCAAAGAUUCUAUAGUAGCUCCAAGGUCAUUUCAUAUGAAGAAGAUUAAGGUAUAUGUAGUUACAUUAUAAUAGAUGAAUCUUCCACCUCCUUGACCUAGCUAAUCCUUCAGGGUUCCGAAAGCCUUAGUCAGGGAUAUUAGCUAAUCAUGUUCACGCAAUAAUUAAUGAUAAUCAAUAAAGAAUUUAUGCAAUGAAUUCCAUAAAAAUAAGAAAAAUAAAAUCUGAAGUCUUCAAUUGAAUAAUAACCCAAAAAUCUCAAGAAUAAUGUAAAGUAUUGUAAAAGUAUGUAAUAUUAUGAUAAGGAACGUCUAAGAGUGUAAACUAAUAAAUGAUAAACCUUAGGGUAUUUAUAGAAUGUCAGAAUAUAUAGAAAUUUUAAUUAAAUAAGAAUAGGAAAAGUAACAUUGGCACAAGUUUUGACACACACGUAUAGAUAUAAAGUAUUCUUAUGAGUCGUACUGCGCCUCUCAUAUUUCUCUAGUGUCUGAUCUUCUAGGUCUUUAAAUUUCUAUAAUCAUUACGACUUAUGCUCACGUGUCAUACCUUAACUAUAUGACUCGUGAUCUUUACUCGUUACAACCUGGUACUUCUUCUUUUAAUGCUUUGAACACUAGUCUACUUAUAGUUUACCCAUACGAGUAUUACUGAGUCUUUUGACUCAUCUUAUUCUGAGAAAUCAACUAUGAAUUUGACUUUAGUUUCUAUUUUUUGGACGAAUACUACUUCAAACUUGUAUCCUCAUCUUACGAUCCAUAUGAUCCAGUCGUAUCUUAUUAUUACUUGGUUUUUCUGUUUGGUUUUAGUCACUGUUAUGCUUACGAGUCAAGCUACGAGUCAUAUGAUGUGUUGAAAACUUGUAAGGUGACUCGUAUUAUCUACAGCUUUUUUUCUUCAGGUCUUUUUCUUCGAAUUUCAUCCCAGCACUAUUAUUGACCUAUUUCAAAUGCAACAAGAUAAAAGAACAUCAUAUCUACUAAAAUAACCUCAUUACAAGCAUAAAUUCCUUUUUUAAACUUAAAAAAUGUUGUGUUUCCAUGGUGCAUCAGAAACCAAGGAAAACAUCAUCUGCUAUCCUAAACACCAAACCGAAUCCUCCUUAGAAUGUCAAGAACCCUCAAUCGAGUUAGUGUUCAUUGAAUCCCUCGUAAUCUCAGAGGCUCAUGCUCAGCCUGCCAUGAUUCAGAAUUCAAACAAAGUAUUUGGAUCAUCGAUAGAAUAAGAAACUUCUCAUCCUGUAAAUCCCACUUCUCUAGAAAAUUCAAAACUGCCUAAAAUCUUCCAAAUUCCCGAGUCAUCCAAAAAAUCCAAAAAUGUUGAACCCUAUAAAACACGACAAGAGCCUAACUCUCCUAUACCCUCAUAUUCAAACCUUAUUUUUUUCCUAGUUAUUUGGUAAAGAAAUUUCAGUAAAAAGUGUUGAUCUUUCCCUUAAUGAAAGUUGGAGAACUGAGAAUCUUCUCCUAUUGAAUAUGAUACCAAAGAAAGAUUAGUAAAUAAGGAUAAAUGGAAUAAAGAAAAGUAUAUAUUGUUACCACCACAUGAGAAAGAUAUAGAGGAUAAGGAUGAAAUACCUCUAAGAUUGUUGGUAAAGAAACUGAAACAAAGUAUAGGUAAGGAGAAAAUGAUAAACUCAGAGGUGAAAGUGACUAGUACCUAUUCUAUAAGAGGUUCUGAAAAUAAAAUGAUGGAAAAUGGCAUUAAGGCCAACAAAUCUUCAUCCAUAAAAAGAAGAAGGCUGAGGAAAUCAAUGGCAGUAGAGGAGGAAGAAAAUGUUAAAGUUUUAAAGGUUGAGAAAGAAGAAGACAUAGAUUAAGUAGUUGCUACUACUACUAAACAAAUAAAAUUAGAAGUUUAGGAUGAUGAGAGGACCAGUUCCUCUAAGUCAAAGACUGGUAGCUCUAUUGGAAUAAGGGAGAAAUAUUGAGAUUUUAAGAAAAGAAUAGAUUCUCAGGGACUCGGUCCCAUAAAGAUAAAAAUGUAUGUAAAGGGUGAUCCAAGAAAGGGAAAGAAAAGGAAUAAAGAAAGGAAUGGCAUGUCCAGAUAAAGGAGGAAUGAGAAACUUAGAACACAGAUAAUUCUAUCUGGGAGAUCAUUUGAUCCAAAAAUAUAUGGAAAACCAUACAUGGUAGAACUGGUAGAGUAUAUGAGGCCUCAUGGUUCGUUACACUUUCUAGAAGAACCAACUCCUACUAUCAUUGAUGGAGAAGUGAGAGAAUUGUACUACUCUAUGGAAUUCUUAAACGAUGGUUAAUGUUUGACUGAAUAGUUCUUAAGGUGGAUGAAGAAACACUAGGAAGAAUCCUGAAUGUAUCUAUUGUAGAGAUAAGAACUGUAGUAAAUCAAAUUCAUACCACUAAGUUCAUGAUUGAGGCAUCAAAAGUAAGAGGAACCUUAAUAGCUAUAGUGAAAAAUAGUUUCUAAAAAGAGACUAUAAGUUGGUAUUUAUGUUCAAGGUCUUGUUGGAAAGAUCUGAGAAAAGAAAAUUACUUCCAGGGUUGACUUGUUCUUGAAUUAAUCGUUGAGUAAAUUUAAAAUGAUAAAUCUUCCAGCUUUAAUGAUAGAGCAUAUACAUAAAGCGAUUCGUGAAAAAAGAGGCAAACAUGGAGUACCUUAUGCAUAUCUCAUGAACAUGGUGUUUGAACACUAUGAUAUAUAUGGAACUUAACGAACCCCUGGAACAGCCAAGCAGAUGAUCAGCCUUACAACCCUUGUGAAGAAUGAAUGCAUAGAGGGAAACAUUGGAUCUAUGUCCCAAGUGUCUGAGUUACUAGUUGUUAAGGAAAGGUUGGCCAAAUAAAUUGAGGAGUGAAGGAUUAUGUUGGCUGCCAAAGAUGCUGAGAUAGUGCAUCUAAAGUUGCAAAAUCAGAAGUUGUCUUCUGAGGGACCAGGUACAACUACUGAGCUUCCUGCUUAAAAUGCGAAACUUAAUACACAAGUGGUAGAACUGACUGGUGAAAUUUAAGGAUUGACUCCUAAAGUCAAAAUUCCCACGAAACAAUUGUUGGAUUCCCACAAUGCUGAAAAUACAAGAAUAGAGAUGCUUAUUAGGUCUCUUUCCCCAUAAACCUUCCGAUAACGUUAGUCUUAUUAUACAUGUUCUCAAAUCAAUCUAGUGUCAGUUUCAUAUUUUGGCCCCUGUGUUGGCUCUUGAAGACGAUUUGUUCUAUGCAUUAUUUUUGUAUGAUUAUAAUGGUACUAACCUUUAUUUUGAAAAUGAAUGAAUUUAGCUUGUGUAUCCUGUCUAUCUCCUUUACUUUUAAAGCUUGUCUUCAUGCUAGUAUUUCCCUAGUGGCUAUGAGUUAUUAACUUGAACUUAUCUUUACUUAUGGUUUGUUGGUAAUCCUUUUCAAUGAUGCUAAAAGGGGGAAUUAUGAUUUUAUAUAGAAGGGAAUAGGUAUGAUAUGUGAUGUGCAGGGAUCAAGUACUAAGUAAUUAUGAUCACAAAGUACCAUGCGAUGACAUGUAUAUCCCACUAAAGUGAGCAAGAUACAUAUUUACAUCAUUAAUUGUUGAUGGAAAAUAUACUCCCUUUAAGUUCAACAAUUGGAUCAUAGCUCUAGUAAUGCAAAACUUAACAUUGGGUGAUAGAGCAGGAAGAAUGAUGGAUCCUAUUUCAGUAGGUUCAGCAUAACCCAUAUCUUUUUCAUCAUCAUAUGAGUUUAAGUGAUGAUAUAUAGGAAUCAAUGGAGCUCUGCCUCUCUGAACUUGGUCCCAACACUGGGCCACUUGUCUGGGUCAGACUAGUUCUCCUUGCUCUUGGGCCUCUUUCACUACUCUUCUCUCUCCCUUUGCAGCAGCUAAAAGUUGUUGCAUUUGUAAAUCUACAACAUUUUGUGGAUUUCCUAGAUCAUGCGGAAGUGCCAAAUUUGUAUCAACAUAUGAAGGAAAAGGAUAUUGAACACCAGUAGGAACAUGAUCAUGAACUUUUCUUGACAUCCUUCUCGGUGUUUAAAGAAUUCUUUUAGGCUCUAGAUAAAAAGGGAGUAAGGUAUUUCCUCCUCUCAUAGUUGUUGACAUACACCGUCGUAUGACAAAUCAAGAAUAAAAAAUAAAACCUGCAAACUUUACCAAUUCAAUUAACUACUCAAGUCGUCUUCCAAGACAACGAUACCAAAAUUUAACAUCGCCCAAAACUAACCUGUAAAGAGGUAUGGUCUGGUCGAUGCCAAAUAAAGUAACCCAAAUAGGUUUGGGUCGAUCCCACAGGAAAAAUGUUUAACAGGUUCUCAACUCGUUGAAUUCCAUGAGUAGUGCAGAAAAGUAAAUGGGAGAUUUGAAAUUAAUCGUAAAUAGUUACCGAACUUGAAUGUAUUGAGUUUGUAAAUAAUAGAAGAAGAAAAAUAGGAGUGUGUUCCCCCUGGCUUCUCUAAUCUGUAAAUUUCUAAUUUUCAACCCACUUAUUCUAUUGUUCUGCAUGUAAAGUCAACAUGAUACGUAUUAUCAUAAGUCUGGUGAACACGUUGAUAAAUCUCACUCUUUACAUGGUGAGUCUCAAGGUGUCGCCUUAUUUCUCCUUGUUUAUGACUUCAGUUCAACAUUCACAUUUUGAGACUCAAGUUGAUUAGAUGAGAUGAUGGGAUAAUAAGAUGGACGCGAAUCUCAAACUAUAGUCUUAAUCCUCUUUUUCUAAUCUCAAAAUCCCAUGUGAGGACGUUAUCGAAUACAGGAAAUUCCUAAGAUUCAACAGUAGGUUCGAGGUCAAUUCCAAUGAAGAAGAUUAAGAUACAAGCAAUUACAUUAUAAAAUAUGAAUCUUCCACUUCCUUUACAUUGAUAAACCACCAGGGUUCCCACAACCCUAGUCGGGGAAAUUAGCCGAUCAUAUUCACACAAUAAUCAAUGAUAUUCAAUAAAGAAUUUAUGUAAUUAAUUGCACAAGAAUAAGAAGAAUAAAAUUUGAAGUCUUCAAUUGUAUAAUAACCCAAAAAUCUCAAGAAUAAUCUUAUGUAUUGUAAAAGUAUGUAAAAUAAUGUUAAGGAACGCCUAAGAGUGUAACAUAAUAAAACAUAAAUCCUAGGGUGUUUAUAGUAUCUCAAAAUACUGUAAAAUUUUAAUUAAAUUAGAAUACGAAAGGUAAUAUCGGUACAAGGUACGACUCUCUCAUCAACUCAUAAAGUUUUCUUACGAGUCUUACUAUUCCUCUCAUAUGUUCUCCAGUGUCUGAUAUUCUAGGUCUUCAUCUUUUUUGUAAUCAUUAUGACUCAUGCUCAUGAGUUGUACCUUAACGAUAUGAAUCGUGUCCCUCACUUGUUACAACUUGGGACUUCUUUAUUUAAUGCUUUAAACACUGGUCUACUUACAGUUUACCCAUACGAGUCUUACUCAGGCUUUUGACUCAUCUUAUUCUUAGACUUCAACUAUGAAUUUUACUUUAGUUUAUGUUCUCAUGGUGACUGCUUCUUUAGACACGUAUCCUCAUCUUACGAUCUGUAUGUACAGUCAUAUCUUAUCAUCACUUGGAUUUUUUUUCACUGUUAUGCUUACGAGUCAACCUACGAUCUGUAUGAUAUGUUAAUGACUUGUAGGGUUACUCAUAACAUCUGUAGUUUUGUCUUCUUCAGGUUUUUUUCUUUAAAUUUCAUCCUAAAUGUAUUAUUGACCUAUUUCACCUGCAAUAAGACAAAAGCAUAUCAUAUCUACUAAAAUAACCUAGGUACGAGCAUAAUUUAUUUUUCAAGCAUCCAAAGUGACGUGUUUCCACGGCACAUCAGAAAUCAAGGAAAACAUCAUAUGCAAUCCUAAACAACAAACCAAAUCCUUUUUUGAAUGUCUAGAUCUCUCAAUCAGUUCAGUGUUUAUUGAAUCCGGUUUAAUCUUAAAAGCUCAUGCUCAGCCUACCAAGAUUGGGAAUCCAAGCAAAAGUUUUGGAUCACUUAUUGAACAAGAAAUAUCUCAGCCAGAAAAUCCUUUUUCUCUAGGAAAUUCAGAACUGCCUGAAAUGCUGAACUGUCAAAAAAAUCAAAAAAUGCUGAACUCUAUAAAACACAACAAGCGUCUGGCUCUCCAACACCCUUAUAUUUAAACCCUAUUUUUGCCCAGUUAUUUGGUGAUGAAAUUCCAGUGAAAAGGGUUGAUCUUUCCUCCAAGGAAAACUUGACAGCUGAAAAUCUUCUCCUACUUGCAUAUGAAACCAAGGAAAGAUUAGUAAAUAGAGAAGAACUGGAAGUGGGUGAUAAUGAUAAAGGGAAUAAAGGAAAGGAUUUGUUGUUACCACCAGAUGUAAAAGAUGAAGAGGAUAAGGAUGAAAUACCUCUAACAUGGUUGGUAAAGAAACUGAGAGAAAGUAUAGGUAAGGAGAAAAUGAUAAACUUGGAGUUGAAAGUUACUAGAACCUAUUCUACAAGAGGUUUUUAAAAGAAAAUGAUGGAAGCUUGCAUGAAGCCCAAUGUAGCCAUCAUUUGUAGCCAAGUUUCCCUAUGCACUCAAAUGACCUAUGUUCCAGAUGUGCGAGCCCUAAUGGUUUCAUGUAUCUUAGGCAUUAUUUCUGUGAAUGUUGGACGUCAUGUAUUUUUAGACAUGAGGCAUAUUAAGAACAGAGGUGGAUCCCCACUUCUAUUUUCUUCUUUGAUCACAGAGCUAUGCAAGAGAGAUAGGAUUGAGGAUUAUUCUGGAGAUACUUGGUUACAUCCAAAGAACACUAUUUACCCGCUUAUGAUUUGUGGUGAAGGAGCACUUGCUAUGAGUAAGAAGAGGAACAUCGACGUAGGCAAGUCUACAACUAAGUACAUAGUCUCUUGCAGGACAUACACAACAGAGCCAUUUAAGUAGAUCUUGGUUGAGAUGAGGUCAAUCAAGGAGCUUGUGUCUGGAUUACCUAUAGGGAANNNNNNNNNNNNNNNNNNNNNNNNNNNNNNNNNNNNNNNGGAAAGAAGGUCUAUCUACCACUCACCAUUCUUAUAUUUCUUAGAUGACUGUCAGCAAUUUUUGGCAUAUCAGUAGGAGCAGAAGGCCACUAUAUCUAGGCUUGAGAGGGAAUACUCCUCCUUAGCGCAAUCACAUAUAGAUCUGAAGGAUUCUUAUAAAAAGAUGAGAAAGAUGGAGAAAAAAAAAGGCGAAUUCUUCACUAAGAUAGAGAAGGAGUGAAGGGCCUAUAGAAGGUACUAAAACACGAAGAGAGACUUCCUUCUCCCUGAGCUUAUAUAAAUAUGAGGUCCUAACUACAUGGUCAGACUCAAAUGAUACCGAGACCAAGAUAGAUGGCGGUCCUUGAUGCGGCUUUAAGGAGAACCCAUUACCCUUUCUAUACUUUCUUAAUUAUGCAGUAAGGUUACUACAAGCUUUGAGUUGGGGAUGUUCGCCUCCUUAGUAGCUAUAGUUAUUUGAUUGGUCUAUAUUAUUUUGAUAUUUUUUGGAUAGGAUGCUCGUAUUUUUAUUUUUGGUUGAAAUAUUUGGGCACCCUGAUGGUGCCUAAUUUCAUAGAUUAGUCAUUUAUUUUCAGUGUUAGAUUUGUCUUUAUUGUUAGAUUUCUACUUGUUUAUGAUGAUGUUGGAUGAGCCUUUUCCUAUGAUAGAGUAAGUGAUGACAUUCUUAAGGGAAAAUCAUCGUGUUUAGGUUUUGAGCCAUAGAUGAAGGGAAAGUCCAAGUACAUGUGGCAAUAUAGAUUUGGGAUCACCCUUAUGCCUAUGGUGAAGUACGAAAUGUGAGAUGACAGAUUGAGUUGGUGCUAACGAUAACCAUAUUGCAUAGUGAAAGGAAAAACACGUAUCCCCAUUCCGUCCAAAAUAAUUUGUGAAAAUGAAGGGCAUGGACGUAAAUAAUUGUGCAACAAUGCUUUACCCUGUCUCUGUGACUCCAAAUUCUUUAGUAGGUAGUGUGUUGUAAUUAGAUCCUUUUGUCUUUAAUAGAAAAUGAAAUUGAUCCUUCUUAAGUAGUUCUGUCACGACCCGAGCCGAGGCCCUGGUUGGGACGGACAUACCAAACCAUGAAGGCCCAGGCACCUCUUUAUAACUGGUAAUCAUGCACAACAUUUAUACAAUAUAAAGAAUUUUUGAAAAACAUAACAAAACAGAACCAUGGUCAAUCAGAUAAAUCACUUGAACAAUUUGACAAGAAGUUCUUAACAUUCAAAACAAAUGAUAACCGUAUGCGAAAUCUCUAUUAUUCAAGAUUCAACAUAUGUAUAAGAGCAAAAUUGGGACAAGGCCCCCAGUCAGACCAUGAAUCAAAUAAAUAACAAUGUUGUAUUAACCCAGCCUUCCAACAUAGGGGAGGCUCACCAACUAAAAAUCUCAGGCACACCAAUCUAUUACUUAGUUGGACCCCAGGAAUGAGCCUCAGAUGUUGAAAUAUAGGGGGUCAAUACAGUUGUGUUGGUACUCAGAGCAAUCCAAAAUAAUGUAUUUUGUACAACAUAAGUGAGAGCAAUUCAUAAAAUAGUUUACAUAUGAUAUAGGAAAAACACAUGGGCAUUCUUUGAUAAAUUUCAAAACACUUUCUUGAAAUCAUGACUCUACUCUUUGUUAUUCUUCUGAGAUAGAUGCUACACCCUACAAUUUGUAAUUCUAUGGGAUAUAUGGAAUCCGCCUUUGACUCGGAGGCUAAGCCUCCAAUGCAAGUUUGACACAAUGAUUGGAGUAUCAAUAAAGGGAGACACACAAGACCACACAACAUGGUGCUAUGAUCCCCAAUCAAAUCAACAUCUCAUGGUAUUGCACAAGACCAUAAAGCAUGGCUCCUAACCAUAGUCACAAAUUGGGAUGAGAUGAAUCAAGUACCAAAAAACCACACAGUAUGGUACCAUAACCCCAUGUCCUCAAAUCACGAUUUCUAGCGUUGAGUUUUACAACUCGAACUUUCUUCAGGUAACCAUCUAACUCUCUUUAAGCCUAUUUUUAACUCAUUUCCAAACAUGCAUCUUUCUAAUUCAAAAUCAGAAUGUUUGAGAAAAUCUGUAUUUUUAGUCUGUUUUGAAUCUGCCAGGGCAUUCAUCUGUUUGGCAUCGUUAUACCAAGACUUGCAAGUCAAAUUAGCAAUACAACUUCAUGUCACAAUCUUUUUAUUCAAAAUAUGUUAUUUGGACCACCCAAAUCAUUUAAACAGUGCAAGAGAAUUGUUAAUUCAAAAUACAUGAAAACUUAUGCAAAGAUUCUCAUCUUUCAAUUCUCAACCAUAUGGUGGCCAAUCACCUAUUAUUAAACCAUGAACUUCUUUAAAUCAUCAGUUUUCAUUAAUAUAUAAAAGAAAGUACCCUCUCUUUGCUUCAUAAACUAAAUCAAGUCUUAAACAAUAGUUAAGACAUUUGUAUCAUGCUUCUCAAUAUGCAAUUGAAUAAUUCAUAACAUAUGAAUACACGAGGCUUUAUAACAAGAGAGGGAUUAUAAUUGUUCAUGAUCUGAAUUCAACAUUCAUCUCAAAACACAUACAUACUUAUAUACGAAUACAAAUAAAAUUUAGGGAAAGGUUUCAAGACUAAAACAUUAUCAUAAAAAAAUUUUGUUAUUAUAAAUUCAAAAUCCAUUGUAAUUAUAUGAUUCCAUGACUUUAAACCUUACUCAAAAUGUUUCAAUAAGCCCAUGUAGUUUAGGAAAAUCCCACAUACCUUAGAUUACUAUGUUCGACGAAUAAAACCCGAAUCUUUAUUUAUUUUUGGAAAACUUUGACCUAAGAGCUUGAUUUUUGAUCUGUGGGGGCUUAUGAUUUUAUUGAAGAAGAAGAGAGAAUAAUGAUGUAAAAAAAGAUCUUUGGGGGGCUUAAAUCUUGUGUUUUGGACAGUUUUGGGUGAGGUAAAUGACCCUAUUUCCCUAAAAUAGUGGAAAUAGAAACUGGAAAAUAAGGGAGCAUGCUAUAGAGCGUGUGUCUCAUGCUCUGGAGCAUCGAAAUGGAGUGUGUGCCCCCUCAAUGAUGGAAUGGAAUAUGCGCCACAUGGUAAUCACGCUACCUUACCACCCCCCUCACGAAAAUGGCUAUAACUUUUGGCUCAGGUAUCGGAUUAAGGUGAAACUGGUAUCGUUGGAAAGCUGACUCAAUUAUCUAUAAUUUGGGAGGUCUUGAAUUGAAAAAUUCUACUUGUAUCGAAAGUUAUACACGUUCAAAAUAGACCCUUGUAGAAUUGAAUACAAAGAUUUAUUUGAAUCAAAGGUUCUUAGCUCAACUUCGCUCUAACAAACUCCUAUGAAGAUUUUUCACCUCAAAAGCACUUCAAACACGAGGAUAAAGAUCAUAACACUUAUUCUAACUUGGUCAUAAUUUUUAUUAGAGUUUACACACCUAGGAACAAAAGUUCAAUUUCUUGUUCAAAACUGCGGGGUGUUACAUUAUAUCCCCCUUAGGAUCAUUCGUCCCUGAAUGAUGGGUAGUGACUUUUUAAAGCUUUGAAAAUCUAGAAUAAAGAACAUAAUCUUGCAUUGAACAUCUUUCUACAAUAAAAUAUACUAAGGCAUCAAAUGAGCUUUAUGAUAACCCUUAGUGAACAUAUAAGCACGAAGAGUGAGGUAACGAGACUUUACAUAGAUAUUAUCUUGCACAUGAGUUCUAUUAAUCAUAAUCAUCAUCAAAACAUAAGGCAUGAGUUAAUUUGGUUAUAAUAGGUCUGAUUCACAUCAGUGCUAAUCAUGAAAUAAAGUUUUCAUGGGACUGAGGAUUAGAAGAGUUCUCUACAUUACAAGGUACAACGAAUAGACUUAAACUUAGAGACACUACUCGGCUAUGCCCCAAAAUUAAAUGGGAUACUUCACAAUUUUCAUCUUACAUUUCUACCAUCACACAUCUAACCACAAGAGUUUGAGUCGCACUGUAAAGUUCUUUUACGUUGAAGCCUAACUCAGAGUAACAAGGAGCUACUUUAAACUACGGGACCCAGUACUCUACAUUCAGUUAAGAAUAUUAUUUUGCCUUAUAACUACCAUCAAAUACACUCAAGUGGUACAUUUACGGAGUACUAGCCAGAUAGUACAUUGGUUUGUGUUUUCAUCAACCACAACAUUCAAGCCUAUCAUUACUACACCCAAUUCAUGGAUUUCCCCCACUAAGAACAACAAAUUCAAUCAUUCUCACAAGGAUUCUUUCCAUAUAUCUCCUUUCUAAUUAUUUCACCUAAUAAAAGUCCAUCUCCUUCUUCCUCUUUCUCCGAUGGACUUAGCUCAAGAAAUCGUAUACAAAAAUAUUUCACCUUCAAGAAAAUCAAAUCUCCUACCUAAAAUAUCACCACGCUCCAUAACCACCGUCAUAAUAUAAUACAGAGGGUUAUUGAGGGACCCGAGCAUAAGCAUCAUAAAUGGGAGAAACACCACUUAAUCAUAACUUAUAUUUAUUGAUCUACUCAAGAUGGGACAUGAGGUGAAGAUACGAUAGAAUAGACACGAAGUGCUUCAGAUAUCAAGUGUCUAGAUCAUAAGUAAAGAGUCGUUCUGCAUAAGUACAACACAAUGUGAAUUAUUAGGACUGACUACAUGAGAAACACGGGUGUACAUAUCUCAUGAUUUGUAUAACUUAAGGUCAAAAUUCAUAAGGUCAGUGAUUAAGACAAGGAUUGCUACUUAAGGCUAUUGCUCCUUAUUUUAUUUUUAUAAACCUUAUCAAUCUGGUUAAUCUCAUCAUAAAAAUGAAUUAGUAAUAUAUUAAAACAUAGGUCCUUAGAACCAGGCAUCAUUUGGGACAUGGAUUUAUGGAACAUGAACAACAUACACAGAGCUUGGAUACUUGGAAUAUUGAACCACUGAGGAAUUUUAUUGCUUUUGGUUUGGAGGUCGAGACUUGACAUGAGUUACAUAGAGAACUCAAACCAUCGACAUUGGUAUUACUUGAACACAUGACGUAAGAUAUUAGCAGAAUAAUCUUAAAAAUUGAAGUAGGAGAAGUAUGAUUGAGUAAGAAUAGGUUUAUCAUGACUCCUCCCCACAAUUUGCCACACUGAGAAAAUUUGGGAACUACCUUAAUUCACCAUCUCUUCCUUAGAUCAAAGUCACAAUCCUAUACUUGUAGACAUAACCUCACAUCAAAUCUAUAGCCAUAACCCUCAACACAAAAGUGAUAUCACCAUAUACAUAAACUGUAUAAUCUCCCUGAUAAACUAUACUUUGAAGGCCUUGCUUUCCGGAAAUGCUAUGCUUAACUUUUGCUAGCCUCUAAGCCAUCACCCUACAACUCAGACUUUCAUGAUCAUACAUAUCCCACCCCGUAUCACAUAAAAAUCUACUCUCUAGCACUUAAAAUUCUAACAUUUGACCAUUAAUCACAUAACUUACAUCAUGAUUAUAUUUUAAAUAUUACACCAAAGGCAAAUACUUCCUACCUGUAUUUCCUCAAUUCAGCUCUAAGGAACGUCAUACAACAACUCCUUAGUCUUUCCCAUACUACAAAAUCCAAGAACAUGAACUAGGUACAUACGAAUCUUAUGCCAUAAAAUCUUAUCAAACGUCAUACUACCGGGGGGUAAAACUUAUUCUUAUAUACUUACACACUUAUCCACUUAAUUACUCAACCACGAUUCAUAACUCUUAACACUAAUCUUUAUGACUACAUAUAUCUAUAUAUAUCACAGUUUUCCACUACUUAUUCAAUAUGUUACCAAUCUAGGCUAUUUCAAACACUACAUUAGGGAAACAACUUUAUUCCCAAAACAUGCAUUAUCAAUCAUGAGCUACUAUUUGCACCACUACACUUCACAUCUCAAAUUCAAGCCUAUUGUCUAACAACGCUAAUCAUAUAGAGUAUGCCAUACACUAUACUAAUCGGUCAAAUAGAAAUAUCAACCUAAGUCUCAUAUUUCACUUACCUAUGGCCCAUAAGUUCAUCCUCUCUAUGACAUUACUACUACACCUCAAAAUCUACUACAUACCUCCUCUCAUGAAGAACUAGUUUACAACUACUAGACAAAGAAAUAUCAAAGGGUAUAAGGAUACGCCCAAAUUACACCUCUUUUACAAUAGAGUAAGCGGUCGUUGUGAAAUAUAUAACCCAACUAGGUUGGGGUUGAAUCUCACAGGGAAUAUGGUGCUAAUUAAGUUGUAUGCAGAUUAGUUAUCUUAUAAUCAUUCGUUUCCAUAAAACAAAAAGAGUGAAUUUGAUUUAGUUCACAAAUUCAUGGUUUCAGUUUAACAAGAUGAAAUAUGUGUAGUAGUAUUCAAAUGCAGAAAAAUAGCAAGCUAGGGUUAUGUCCACCUUGUAGUUUUCAAUGCUUUCUUACUAUAGGUUUUACUAAUUCAUACAUGUAUCAUUCUUAUAGAGAAACAUAUUGUAUUUAAUAACAUAAUCCUAGUGUUUCUCAACCAUCAAGGACUAAUUCACUUUAAUUCUCUCAAAUCAAAAGUGUAUACAAAAACAAUACAGAAUCUCCAAGUAGUUAAUCCUAUUAAGGCAUUAACAUAUGAAAUAGGGGUUGGAAAUCCUAUUUUCUUGUGACUACACUCUUUUUCAAAAAACAACCUUUCUUUCGAACAAGUUGUAUUUUAAGGCACAUUCUCUAUGUUUGUAACCACGAGAAUUCAAGAUAAACGAAAAGAGUAUGAUGUAAACAAAUCAAUACAUAAUGAAUUCAAAACCCAAAGUACUAGAUUGUAUGCUACAAGACUUCCAUAACCCUAACUAAUAAACUUAUCUACUCAGGAGUAAAACGGAAAUCACAAUAGAAAUAUUUAUCAUACCAAAAACUAGAACACGAUCUUGGUGUGAAAAUAGUGAAAACAAAAGAGAAACAUUUUCUCUCUCCACCCUAAGCCGCUAUUCCCUUGUUCCAAAAACUAUAGAAUAUUGAAUAAUGAUAAAAAUUCCGCAUCAAGUCUUUUUAAUAAUCUUUUCUCUCAUAUUUGCCUUGUAAGUUCUUGAAUUAAUUAUAAAUAAUAAAUUAGUCUUGGACAUAGUUUCUAGGCGGCAUAUUUUGUCCAAAAAACUAAUUUUCCCUUGUGUCAUAUGCCAUCCGCAUUCCAUAGUCCCAUUAUCUCUCCGCCUACCUUAUUAAUACUUGAAACUAUGCUAAUCACAUCGGUUAGCUCAAUUACAUAGAAGUAGCGUAAAAACAUAAAAAAUGAGGCACUUUGUUCUCCAAACAUAGCUAAAAUAUGGGUAAGCUUUGGUGCUUAGGUGUAUAAAUAACCCAAGAUCAUAUAGUCACAUAAUAGGGAUAUUCGAUCUUAAUCUUAUAUUAUAACCCAUUAUGAUCCCAUUAACAUAUUCCACUUUCUCACAUCAUAGUUCCUUACCCAUGCAUACAUCACAACUACCUUCAAAAUUCCAUAUACAACAAUAAGUUUUUACAUAUAACUUAUUAGCUAAUCUAACCAUCUUCAUUCACAGCCUAUAAGGGGUUUCUAUAACCAUCAUAACUAUUCAUUCUGAGAUUCUUCCCUAUUUUGAAUAAAUAAUAAUCUUAGUCAGCCACUUCAUUUACAGACUACGAUACAGUUUAUAAUUAUUGCUACCACAUUAAUCUAUCACUAUAAAAUGGAAACCCAAUCAUCAAUCCAUGAUUGUUGAACUAAAACUAUUUAUUUACACAAAAGCUUUCCUCACCCUGACUUCUAACCUUGUGACUUCACAUCACUAACUUCUUGUCCAUCUCACCAUAAAUAGGUUAUGAUACUUUAAGAUAUACUACUACUCGGUUAGAAAUAUAGUUCCAACAUUCUACUACACAUCAUUACCCUUAAGUAUGACUCUACAAUAAGACUUUUGAAAGGACAUUGAAUAUACUUCAUACCCUAGGAUGAAAAGAACGAUUUCAUUAGGAUAAAGGUAUACACUCAAAUCAAUAUGCCUUGAAUCACUAAUGGACUCCUCUCAAGACCUUGUGCCAUCUCAUAACUUUAUGAAUAACUCAAUCAGACAGAACCACAUCACUGGGGGAGCUAGACUCUUAGACUUAUAUUGCCUCGACAAUGAGGCAUAGCCCAUAGAUUUAGAACAAGGAAGGAAUUUUGAUAACUUUCUUAUGGACAAUGCUAUAGCAUGAGCUAGAGUAGGAAAGAGUAAGAAAAAACUCCUAAAUUCCCAGUAGCCUUCUGAUUAUAAGUGUGGUGCACAACGCACCCAUAACAAGACUCUACUAGACAUGACUUCACAGAUACAUUAGGACUAUGAACCGUUCUCUAAUACCAAGUUUGUAAUGACCUGAGCUGAGGCCCUGGACGUGACGAAUAUCCUAAACCAUGAAGGCCCAAGCAUGCCUUUCUACCUGGCAAUCAAGCAUAAUAUUCAUACAAUAUAAAGAAUUUGUGGAAAACAUAACAAAAUGGAACCAUAGCCAAUCUAAAAAAUUACUUGAACCAUUUUACAGAAAUUUCUUAACAUUCAAAAUAGAUGAUACCCAUCUGUGAAAUUUCUAACAUUUAAGAUUCAACAUAUGUCUAAAAUCAAAACUGGGAUAAGGGCCCUAGCUAGACCAUGAAUUAAAUAAAUAAUAAUGUUUUUUAAAUUUGAUAUUUUGAAAUAGGGGAGGCUUACCAACUGUAAAUCUCAGAUAUGCUAAUCUAUUACUUAGCGGGACCCUGGGACUGAGCCUCAAAUACUGAAUUUUAAAGGGUCAAUAUAAUUGUACUGUUAUGUAGAGCAAUCUAAAAUAAUGUAUUUUAUACAAUAUAAGUGAGCUCAAUUCAUAAAAUAGUUUACAUACUAUAUAGAAAAAACACAUGGGUGUUCCUUGAUAAAUUUCAAAAAACUUUCUUGAAAACAUGACUCGACUAUUUGUUAUUCAUCUUACCUAGACGGUACACACUAAAAUCUAUAAUACAAUGGGUUAUAUGGAAUCUGCCCAUGACUCGGUAGCCAAGCAUCCAAUCCAAGUUUGCCGCUUGGAUUACAGUAUCGAUAAGGGGAGACACGCAAGACCAUACAACAUGGUACCAUGAUACCCAAUCAAAUAAAUAUGUCAUGGUAGUGCAUAAGUCUAAAAAGCAUAGCUCUUAACCAUAGUCCCAUUGAUACGACAUGAAUCAAGCUACACAAGACCACACAACAUGGUACCAUAACCCCAAGUGGGCAAAUCAUAGUUUCUAGCAUUGAGUCUUUCAACUCAUACUUUUUUUAGGUAACCAUAUAAAACUAUUUAAGCCAAUUUUUAACUCUUUCUUAAGCAUGCACCUUUAUGAAUUCAAAACCUAAAAAUCUCACAAAAAUUUUUAUUUUUAGUCUAUUCUAAAUUUGCUAUGGCGUUCGUCUAUUUGGUAUCGUUAUAGAAAGAAUUUCACCUCAGAUAAGACAUACAAUUUUGUGUCACAGUCUUUUCAUUCAAAAUAUGUCAGUUGCACCACCUAGAUCAUUUGAACAGUGCAAUAUAAUUUUAAUUCAAAAUACAUGACAACUUAUGCAAAGAUUCUAAUCUUUCAAUUCUCAACCAUAUGGUGGCCAAUCACUUCAUAUAAAACCAUGAACUUCAUUAAAUCAUCACUUUUCAUUAAUAUAAACAAGAAAGUACACAUUCUUCACUCCAUAACCAAAAUCAAGUUUAAAAUAAUAGUAAAGAUAUGUGUAUCAUGCUUCUCAAUAUACAAUUGAAUAAUUCAUAACAUAUGAAAACAAGAGGUUUUACAACAAGAGACAGAUUAUAAUUGUUUAUGCUAUCAAUUCAAUAUCAACUCAAAACACAUACAUACUUAUAUACGAAACAAAUCAAAUUUAGUGGAAGGCCUCAAGACCAAAAUAUUAUUAUAAAAAAGGGUUCACCAUGCAUAUUUCGUAUUGUAAAUUUUGGGUAACCAUAUAAAUCUCUUUAAGCCCAUUUUUAAAUCUUUCUUAAACAUGCACUUUUCUGAAUUCAAAACCUAAAAAUCUUACAAAAAUUUGUAUUUUUAGUAUAUUCUAAAUUUUCUAUGGCGUUCGUCUAUUUGGUAUCGUAAUAGCAAGAAUUUCAACGCAUAUAAGCCAUACAAUUUUGUGUCACAGUCUUUUCAUUCAAAAUAUGUCAGUUGCACCAGCUAGAUAAUUUAAACAGUGCAAUAUAAUUUUAAUUCAAAAUACAUGAAAACUUAUGCAAAGAUUCUAAUCUUUCAAUUCUCAACCAUAUGGUGGCCAAUCACUUCGUAUAAAACCAUGAACUUCUUUAAAUCAUUACUUUUCAUUAAUAUAAACAAGAAAGUACAGUUUCUUUACUCCAUAACCAAAAUCAAAUUUAGAACAAUAGUAAAGAUAUUUGUAUCAUGCUUCUCAAUAUGCAAUUGAAUGAUUCAUAACAUAUGAAAACAAGAGGUUUUAUAACAAGAGAGAGAUUAUAAUUGUUUAUGCUAUCAAUUCAACAUUCAACUCAAAACACAUACAUACUUAUAUAUGAAUACAAAUCAAAUUUAGUGGAAGGCCUCAAGACUAAAACAUUAUUAUAAAAAAGGGUUCACCGUGCAUAUAUGUUAUUGUAAAUUUUGGGUUACCAUAUAAAUCUCUUUAAGCCAAUUUUUAACUCUUUCUUAAACAUGAUCUUACAAAGUAUUUUUAGUCUAUUCUAAAUUUACUAUGGCGUUUGUCUAUUUGGUAUUGUAAUGGCAAGAAUUUCAAUUCAGAUAAACCAUACAACUUUGUGUCACGGUCUUUUCAUUCAAAAUAUGUAAGUUGCACCACCUAGAUCAUUUAAGCAGUGCAAUAUAAUUUUAAUUCAAAAUACAUGACAACUUUUGCAAAGAUUCUAAUCUUUCAAUUCUUAACCAUAUGGUGGCCAAUCACUUCGUAUAAAACCAUGAACUUCUUUAAAUCAUCACUUUUCAUUAAUAUAAACAAGAAAGUACACAUUCUUCACUCCAUAACCAAAAUCAAGUUUAAUACAAUCGUAAAGAUAUUUGUAUCAUGCUUCUCAAUAUGCAAUUAAAUAAUUCAUAACAUAUGAAAACAAGAGGUUUUAUAACAAGAGAGAGAUUAUAAUUGUGUAUGCUAUCAAUUCAAUAUUCAACUCAAAACGCAUACAUACUUAUAUAUGAAUACAAAUCAAAUUUAGUGGAAGGCCUCAAGACAAGAACAUUAUUAUAAAAAAGGGUUCACCAUGCAUAUUUGUUAUUGUAAAUUUAAAACCCUUUGUAAAUAUAUGAUUCCAUGACUUUAAACCUUACUCAAAACGUUUUCAAUAAACUCAUGUAGUUUAGGAAAACCUCAUGUACCUUAGAUUACCUAGUUCGAAGAAUAAAACCUGAAUCUUGAUUUGUUUCUUAGAAACCUUGACCUAAGAGCUUGAUUGGUGAUCUUUGGAGGAUUAGGCUUUUAUUGAAGAGGAAGAGAGAAUAAUGAUGUAACAAAAUAUCUUUGGGUGCUUAAAUCUAAUGUUUUGGAUUAUUUUAGGUGAGGUAAAUUACCCUAUUUCCCUCAAAUACGCGGAAAUAGAAAUUGGAAAAUAAGAAAGCAUGCUAUGGAGCAUGUGUCGCAUGCUUUAAAGGUUCUAAAUGGAGUGUGCACUACAUUCUCUAUCAUCAACUCCCUUAGGGGUAGACUGGAGUGUACGCCACAUUCUAAUCGCAUGACCUCACUGCCUUCCUCACAAAAAUGGGUACAACUUCUCGCUCGGGUAUUCUAUUAAGGAGAAAUUGAUAUCAUUAGAAAGCUGACUCAAUUAUCUACAAUUUGGUGGGUCUUUAGAUUCAAAAUUCUUCUUUUAUCCAAAUUUAUACAUAUUCAAAGUAGACCCUUGUAAAAUUGAAUUCAAAGAUUUAGCCAAAUCAAAGAUUCUUAGCUCAACUUCACUCUAAGUGACUCCUAUAAAGAUUUUUCACCUAGAAAGUACUUCAAAAACAAGGAUAAAUAUUAUAACACUUAUUAUCACAUGGAAAUAAUUUCUAUUAGAGCUUACACAUGUAGGAACAACAAUUCAAUUUCUAGUUUGGAAAUGUGGGGUGUUACAAGUUUCCAUGCCAUGUUUGGUGAGCUUAAUCAUUUAAUUCCCAUACUUACCUGUGUCUAGACCUUGCCCCAUUAGUCUCUCAAAUAUAAUCUUAAUUACACAUGGUUGGUGAAAUUAUCUUAGGCCUUCUUUGUUAACAUGCAAAUCCAUUUUAGCCUAAAAAGUCUACUCGUACAUAGAUAGUGUCUUUAGUCACCCACUUUGAGCAUUUAAAACUUUCUUUGGCAACCACAUUACAGUACAUGAACCAUUUGAAUUUUAUUCAUUUUUUGAAACCUACUUUCCUUGAACUUAAAAGUCUAACUUGAGGCUAAAAGCCUAAGUUAGGGUAGUGAAUCUUGAAAGAAGUAACUUUGGGCCAUUAGAUUAUAAGUGAGUGCCUAAGAUCUUAACAAUGCAAAAAUUUAAUAAGAAAGAGAAAGGUUUCAACAAAGGAAAAAAAUUUAUGAAUUGUACAAAGAAAAUAGAUGAGAAGAAAUUACUUUCAAAAGAUGGGCGAAUCAAGGUGGUAAAAGUAGGCACUUGUGUGAGUUAGAAAGAAAUGCAGUGGCCCAUAAACUAAAGUGUAAUUAAAUAGUGUUUUAUGUAAGGUUCAAAAAGGGUGUAGUCACUUUGAUCCCAAAUGUUAUCCUCAAUCUUUAUCGAGCCUUCAUUACAAGCUUGAACAAGUCCUUCAAGAUCUCCAACUAAGUUUUUUAAUUUAGUGGCAAUUAAAAAUAAGGGCAAUCAUAUGGCAUGAUACUUGUUUGCAUUGAUACAUUAAUUUUGAGAGUGAGAGAUUUCACUUUAAUCUCUUGUUGCAUGAUAGAUACUUUGGUGUGUGGGAUUUUCUUUUGUGAGAAGGAAUGUAGACUAAGUGAGGUAGGUAAAAUUGUCAUCUUUCAAAAAUCAGGCAAAGGAGGCUAAUGGUGUCACUAUUGAUCUAGAGUCACUUCUAGAGAGUUAGUGGUUAUUGCUUAGUUAUUCUUUACUGUCUUUUGCAUCCUUAAAAGUGUGUUUUACAUUUAAGAAAGUUGUGAGAAUAAUUAUUCCCACGCUUGAGAGCUAUUUGUUGGUGCUAAUCAAGUUUAAAAUCAUCAUGAUCAUUAGGUGGUAUGAAUAUGCUUAUAAUUGCAUAGUCUCAUUGAGUAUGAAAUAGUGUUGGUUGAGGAUAAGAAAAGGUUUAAUUUAUGGGUGUUGAUGAGGUGUAAGUUUAUCACUCAUUGGCAUUUAAAUCCGUGCAUACUACUAUGGUUAAAUUGUGUAAAUAUGGAAAAAUUAGUUGUUAGAAUGCACUAAUUCCCGUUGUUUGUAGGUUUACAGGUAAUUGGAAUAAAAAAAGUGAAGUAAGAUGGAAAAGGAACAAAAAAAGAUAGUUCAAAAGUUGGAAAACAUAGAGAAGGGAUUGACCCUUAGUUACUGCGAUCGCAGUUUGAGAGCCGCAAUCGUGACCAAUCAAAGCUCGAUAAACUCUUUUGAAUUGCAAGGGGAUCACCGCAAUUGUAGAAGUCAUGAUCGUGAUCAACUAAUGGUGAUUGUGAUGAUGUGGCUGAAGUUCAAAAGGCAGUUUCAUAAUUAUGCAUGGAUGAACUAAAUUCUAAAAAAGGGCAAAACACUCGCACAAUUGAGGCAUUUUUCAACCAUAAUUCAAAGUUGUUAAUGAGAGAAAAAUCCUACCAAUUUAGGAAAUACAAUUGUUUCUAAAAUUUCUAAGAGAAUUAUUAGUUAUAAUUUGAUAUUGAUGUUUCGAGAUUAUUCUUUAUUUGCUAUCAAUGGAUGCAUUGGGUCCUAACUUUUCUAUAUCUCUUUUCUUUAAUCUCGUGGGUAUAUAAAUAUUCAUCUUGGG